ACGGGAGGCAGCAGUGGGGAAUAUUGGACAAUGGGGGAAACCCUGAUCCAGCGACGCCGCGUGAGUGAAGAAGUGUUUCGGUAUGUAAAGCUCUAUCAGCAAGGAAGAAAAUGACGGUACUUGACUAAGAAGCCCCGGCUAACUACGUGCCAGCAGCCGCGGUAGUACGUAGGGGGCAAGCGUUAUCCGGAUUUACUGGGUGUAAAGGGAGCGUAGACGGUUUGGCAAGUCUGAAGUGAAAGCCCGGGGCCCAACCCCGGAACUGCUUUGGAAACUGUCGAACUGGAGUGCAGGAGAGGUAAGUGGAAUUCCUAGUGUAGCGGUGAAAUGCGUAGAUAUUAGGAGGAACACCAGUGGCGAAGGCGGCUUACUGGACUGUAACUGACGUUGAGGCUCGAAGGCGUGGGGAGCAAACAGGAUUAGAUACCCUGGUA
rnacentral:rRNA from 1 species